rnacentral:misc_RNA from 1 species
UCCUUUCUUUUUUUUUUUUUUUAACCUCAGCAAGCGGUUAAGGUUGAUGUUGUACCCCACUAUUCUGUGCAAGCUUGUCACUUCCUUUUUUAAUGCUAAGUAAUUGAAUAGGUGUAAUUAGGGUUUUAUUAUCUCUAAAUGAACAUGAUGAAUUUUUGCCAAACAAUUAAUUUACUUCUUGGUCGACUCGGCAAACCUCCUUGUUUUGGUUCGUUCAAAGGUUUGUCAGGCUUUGAUCUACACUAUAGGAUACUACCCUCGCUCAGCUCAUAAACCCUAAUAUUUCAUCUUAGGAUCUACUGGUUUUAUAGAACAUAAAUUCUGUGGAAGAAAAUGUCUUUCGUCAUUUGGUUGCAAUACUGAAAGUUAGUUGAAAACAAUUUCAAGUGUUUGGAUACAUUGGAAAAGAUUAAUAUUCUUUCAAUAAAUGACUUAAAAUAUUUGAACCUGUAAGAACAUAUUUUUUUCUAUGGUUGAAUAAUAGAGAAAAUUGUACCCAAAAAAAGGUAUAUUGUGGUUGUUGAUGGUGAUUAGCAUUGGCUACAGAUGACAACAAAAGUUUAUUGCCAUUGGUUGAUGCACCAAAAUAUAUGUGCCUAUGUGGUUUCCCAUAAAUUCCAUUUCAUUUUUAUGAGUUUCUGAGCAUUAAGAAUAUGGCUUUUUUUUUUUGUUGAAGGCGAGAAAAUGGCUCUUCGAAGAACAAGAAGUUAAUUUUCUUGGAAAUAAUUUAGUUUUUCUUUUGACCAAAUUUGUCAUUGAUCAAUAUUCCUGUAAAGCAAAUGGAGCCUUAGUGGGGAUUUGAACAUAGAAUUUUUCGAAUUGAACUCCAAUGUUUAAGCCUACCAGUGAAAUAAACCUUUAUUGUCAUGCAAGUCAGAAACAGUUUAUCUAUUAUUAUUAUUGUUGUUGUUGUAGCAGCAGCUUGCUGUGAGGGUUAUUAUUGUCGAAUUAUAGAAGAAUGGAUAUUUGAUUUGACAAUUCUACUAUGCUUUUGAAACAUUUUCUAUUUGUCUCCAAGUGGAUUUAGGUCAUUAGAUGUAACUCACCAUCGUGGGAAUCUUCCAG